CCCAACCGAGAGAAAGAGAGGCCGAGAGAGAUGGAGAGGCUGGAGAUCCAGACCGAGCGAGAGACAACCCGAGAUAGAGAGAUGAUGCUGAGAGAGAACUACCGAGAGGGAGAACAGAUCGAGAGAGAGAUGAUGGUGAGAGAGAACUACCGGUACGUCCUCUCUCUCUCUCUCUCUCACAGCUCUGUCGAUCUCGUCCUCCGGCCCUGAACCCCGCGCAAAAUACUAAGGAAUAUCUGCUUUGGUUUUGACUACGCAGACUUUCAAUGGCCAUAGCCAUCAUCUAAAUCUGCUACCCAGGAAUUGUCAAAUAGCCUCAAAGAACGAUUGGAAUAUUAUUUUCAGAUAGAUUGUGGAGCUGUAGACCAAGAGAAAUUUUAGUUGUGACUGGAAAUUCAAAAUUUGGGGAGUUCUUCUGCAAGCUUUUCUCAAAUAAAGAUAUAGAGAAUGUUGAGAAUUUGUAUAAUCAUAACUUCAAAGGUUCAUACUGCACGUGUGGUAGGCCCUAUCCUGAUUCUGUUGUUGAAGAACAAGCAGAGAUGAUACAGUGCUGUAUGUGUGAGGACUGGUUUCACGAGGAGUAUCUUGGUCUUGAGCCUUCUGAUGAGGUUAGGCUGGUUAGCAGCUUGUGCUUUCACAAUGGCUCCAAAUCAUUUUUAUUUCCUUUGUUAUUUGCUCCUUUUACCUUUCAAGAGUCAUCUUAUGGUUUCACCUACGACUAGUCAUGACAACUGCGAGCCAGUCCAUGUUUUGGGGUUCACCAUCUGUCGUAGGUGGUAUUUUCUGUUGAGAAAUUAGGUAAAAAGAACAGUUGAUCAAUUAAAUGAUGUGGCUUAAGAUCAUCUUUUCUACAUGUUGAGUGUCACAAAAGGGGGCUGUAGCUUUGGACCUUGUAUUUUGUGUUUUCUUUCUUUUCUUAGAUCUUUUGUAUCUUUUUUCAGUUAAUGAACUCUGAUCUUGCUUUAGAAAAAAAAAUUUGUUGGGGUACAUCAUAUUUCUUUGACUUGCUUCAUUUACC